GACGAACGCUGGCGGCGUGCUUAACACAUGCAAGUCGAACGGAAAGGCCCUGCUUUUGUGGGGUGCUCGAGUGGCGAACGGGUGAGUAACACGUGAGUAACCUGCCCUUGACUUUGGGAUAACUUCAGGAAACUGGGGCUAAUACCGGAUAGGAGCUCCUGCGGCAUGGUGGGGGUUGGAAAGUUUCGGCGGUUGGGGAUGGACUCUUGGCUUAUCAGCUUGUUGGUGGGGUAGUGGCUUACCAAGGCUUUGACGGGUAGCCGGCCUGAGAGGGUGACCGGCAACAUCGGGACUGAGAUACGGCCCCGACUCCUACGGGAGGAAGCAGUGGGGAAUAUUGCACAAUGGGCGGAAGCCUGAUGAAGCAACGCCGCGUGCGGGAUGAAGGACUUCGGGUUGUAAACCGCUUUCGCCUGUGACGAAGCGUGAGUGACGGUAAUGGGUAAAGAAGCACCGGCUAACUACGUG
rnacentral:rRNA from 1 species